rnacentral:rRNA from 1 species
GUGGGGAAUAUUGGACAAUGGGCGAAAGCCUGAUCCAGCAAUGCCGCGUGAGUGAUGAAGGCCUUAGGGUUGUAAAGCUCUUUUACCCGGGAUGAUAAUGACAGUACCGGGAGAAUAAGCUCCGGCUAACUCCGUGCCAGCAGCCGCGGUAAUACGGAGGGAGCUAGCGUUGUUCGGAAUUACUGGGCGUAAAGCGCACGUAGGCGGCUUUGUAAGUCAGAGGUGAAAGCCUGGAGCUCAACUCCAGAACUGCCUUUGAGACUGCAUCGCUCGAAUCCGGGAGAGGUGAGUGGAAUUCCGAGUGUAGAGGUGAAAUUCGUAGAUAUUCGGAAGAACACCAGUGGCGAAGGCGGCUCACUGGACCGGUAUUGACGCUGAGGUGCGAAAGCGUGGGGAGCAAACAGGAUUAGAUACCCCGGUAGUCC